AUUGAACGCUGGCGGCAUGCUUUACACAUGCAAGUCGAACGGUAACAGGUCUUCGGAUGCUGACGAGUGGCGAACGGGUGAGUAAUGCAUCGGAACGUGCCCAGUCGUGGGGGAUAACGCAGCGAAAGCUGUGCUAAUACCGCAUACGAUCUAUGGAUGAAAGCGGGGGAUCGCAAGACCUCGCGCGAUUGGAGCGGCCGAUACCUGAUUAGCUAGUUGGUGAGGUAAAGGCUCACCAAGGCAACGAUCAGUAGCUGGUCUGAGAGGACGAUCAGCCACACUGGGACUGAGACACGGCCCAGACUCCUACGGGAGGCAGCAGUGGGGAAUUUUGGACAAAUGGGGGCAACCCUGAUCCAGCAAUGCCGCGUGAGUGAAGAAGGCCUCGGUGUAAG
rnacentral:rRNA from 1 species